AGAAUGUUUUUGCUGGUGUCCUGCAAGUCUGUGGCCUGGUUCUCCUGGGCUCCAGGGAUGGAGGGGGAGGGAGGGCGCAGGCUGUACAGGGGGAGGGAGAG